CCCAGGUCAUGCUACUCGGCUGCAUCAGUCAUAUAGUGCCCGAGUCAUGAUGCUCGACCACAUCAGUCAUUCAGUGACCGAGUCAUGAUGCUCGGCCACAGCAGCCAUACAAUGCCUAAGCCGUAUUGCUCGAUCACAUCAGUCAUACAACGUUUGAGUCAUGCUGCUCGAUCAGAUCAACCAUACCAUACCCAAACCGUGCUAUUCGGCCACAUCAGAUCGUAGUACCCGAACCAUGAAGUUCGGCCACACCAGUCUACAACACCUCAAAUCGUGCCUCACGGUUAUGCUAGCCUUCGAAAAAC
rnacentral:lncRNA from 1 species